AAACAUGAGAGUUUGAUCCUGGCUCAGAAUGAACGCUGGCGGCGUGCUUAACACAUGCAAGUCGGAUGUGCAGCAAUGUGCAUGGCAGACGGGUGAGUAACACGUAGACAACCUACCUUUUAGUGGGGAAUAACGUUUCGAAAGGGGCGAUAAUACCGCAUGAGACCAUCAGUUGUGAUAUUGGUGGUGAAAGCCGGGGACCUUAGGGCCUGGCGCUAGGAGAGGGGUCUGCGUCUGAUUAGCUAGUUGGUGGGGUAAAGGCCUACCAAGGCAACGAUCAGUAGCCGGCCUGAGAGGGUGAUCGGCCACACUGGAACUGAGACACGGUCCAGACUCCUACGGGAGGCAGCAGUGGGGAAUUUUGCGCAAUGGACGGAAGUCUGACGCAGCAACGCCGCGUGAGUGAUGAAGGUCUUCGGAUUGUAAAACUCUGUCGUCAGGGAAGAAGUAUUAUUGUCGAACAGGCAGUGAUAUUGACGGUACCUGGAGAGGAAGCCCCGGCUAACUCUGUGCCAGCAGCCGCGGUAAUACAGAGGGGGCAAGCGUUAUUCGGAAUUAUUGGGCGUAAAGGGCGCGUAGGCGGUGUAUCAAGUCAGAUGUGCAAUCCCCGGGCUCAACCUGGGAACUGCAUCUGAGACUGUUACGCUAGAGUAUUGGAGAGGGCGGCGGAAUUCCACGUGUAGCGGUGAAAUGCGUAGAGAUGUGGAGGAACACCAGUGGCGAAGGCGGCCGCCUGGACAGUAACUGACGCUGAAGCGCGAAAGUGUGGGUAGCAAACAGGAUUAGAUACCCUGGUAGUCCACACUGUAAACGAUGAACACUUGGUGUGGUGGGAGUUGACCCCUGCCGUGCCGUAGCUAACGCGAUAAGUGUUCCGCCUGGGGAGUACGGUCGCAAGGCUGAAACUCAAAGGAAUUGACGGGGGCCCGCACAAGCGGUGGAGCAUGUGGUUUAAUUCGACGCAACGCGAAGAACCUUACCUGGGCUUGAACA
rnacentral:rRNA from 1 species